AUAAGAGCAUGUGGUGGAUGCCUUGGCGAUGAUAGGCGACGAAGGACGUGAUAGCCUGCGAUAAGCUUCGGGGAGCUGGCAAAUUAGCUUUGAUCCGGAGAUUUCCGAAUGGGGAAACCCACCGAAAGGUAUCGCAUACUGAAUACAUAGGUAUGCGAGGCGAACCGGGUGAACUGAAACAUCUCAGUAGCUCGAGGAAAAGACAUCAACCGAGAUUCCGAAAGUAGUGGCGAGCGAAAUCGGAAGAGCCUGUUAGUGAUAGCACGACUCUUAACGGAACAGUCUGGAAAGGCUGGCCAUAGCAGGUGAUAGCCCUGUACGUGAAAAGAGACGUGUGGUACUAAGCUAACGAAAAGUAGGGCGGGACACGAGAAAUCCUGUCUGAAUAUGGGGGGACCAUCCUCCAAGGCUAAAUACUCAUCAUCGACCGAUAGUGAACUAGUACCGUGAGGG
rnacentral:rRNA from 1 species